UACGUAGGGGGCCAGCGUUGUCCGGAAUCAUUGGGCGUAAAGAGCGUGUAGGCGGUCCGAUAAGUCCGCUCUGAAAGCCCGGGGCUCAACCCCGGGAGGCGGGCGGAUACUGUCGGGCUAGAGUCCGGAAGAGGCAAGUGGAAUUCCUGGUGUAGCGGUGAAAUGCGCAGAUAUCAGGAGGAACACCGAUGGCGAAGGCAGCUUGCUGGGACGGUACUGACGCUGAGACGCGAAAGCGUGGGGAGCAAACAGG
rnacentral:rRNA from 1 species